UCGUAACAAGGUCUCCGUUGGUGAACCAGCGGAGGGAUCAUUACAGAGUUAUACAACUCCCAUACCAUCUGUUAACCUACCCAGUUAUGCCUCGGCGUAAGCUCGGUUGGAGGCACCUGCAGCUACCCUGUAGUUGCGGACUGCCAACUCCAGCCGCGGCCCGCCGGCGGUACACUAAACUCUGUUUUAUUUUAUAUUCUGAGCGUCUUAUUUUAAUAAGUUAAAACUUUCAACAACGGAUCUCUUGGUUCUGGCAUCGAUGAAGAACGCAGCGAAAUGCGAUAAGUAAUGUGAAUUGCAGAAUUCAGUGAAUCAUCGAAUCUUUGAACGCACAUUGCGCCCAUCAGUAUUCUGGUGGGCAUGCCUGUUCGAGCGUCAUUUCAACCCUUAAGCCUAGCUUAGUGUUGGGAAUCUGCUGUACUGCAGUUCCUUAAAGACAGUGGCGGAGCGGCGGUAGUCCUCUGAGCGUAGUAAUUUAUUUCUCGCUUUUGUCAGGCUCUGUCCUCCCGCCAUAAAACCCCCAAUUUUUUAGUGGUUGACCUCGGAUCAGGUAGGAAUACCCGCUGAACUUAAGCAUAUCAAUAAG
rnacentral:misc_RNA from 1 species